rnacentral:rRNA from 1 species
GCAAGUCGAGCGAACUUGCGGGAGCUUGCUCCCAAAAGUUAGCGGCGGACGGGUGAGUAACACGUGGGCAACCUGCCCUAUAGUUUGGGAUAACUCCGGGAAACCGGGGCUAAUACCGAAUAAUACAUUUUAUCUCCUGGUGAAAUGUUGAAAGAUGGUUUCGGCUAUCGCUAUAGGAUGGGCCCGCGGCGCAUUAGCUAGUAGGUGAGGUAACGGCUCACCUAGGCGACGAUGCGUAGCCGACCUGAGAGGGUGAUCGGCCACACUGGGACUGAGACACGGCCCAGACUCCUACGGGAGGCAGCAGUAGGGAAUCUUCCACAAUGGGCGAAAGCCUGAUGGAGCAACGCCGCGUGAGUGAAGAAGGUUUUCGGAUCGUAAAACUCUGUUGUAAGGGAAGAACAAGUGCAGUAGUAACUGGCUGCACCUUGACGGUACCUUAUUAGAAAGCCACGGCUAACUACGUGCCAGCAGCCGCGGUAAUACGUAGGUGGCAAGCGUUGUCCGGAAUUAUUGGGCGUAAAGCGCGCGCAGGCGGUUUCUUAAGUCUGAUGUGAAAGCCCCCGGCUUAACCGGGGAGGGUCAUUGGAAACUGGGAGACUUGAGUGCAGAAGAGGAAAGUGGAAUUCCAAGUGUAGCGGUGAAAUGCGUAGAGAUUUGGAGGAACACCAGUGGCGAAGGCGACUUUCUGGUCUGUAACUGACGCUGAGGCGCGAAAGCGUGGGGAGCAAACAGGAUUAGAUACCCUGGUAGUCCACGCCGUAAACGAUGAGUGCUAAGUGUUUAGGGGGUUUCCGCCCCUUAGUGCUGCAGCUAACGCAUUAAGCACUCCGCCUGGGGGAGUACGGUCGCAAGACUGAAACUCAAAGGAAUUGACGGGGGCCCGCACAAGCGGUGGAAGCAUGUGGGUUUAAUUCGAAGCAACGCGAAGAACCUUACCAGGUCUUGACAUCCCACUGACCGCUAUGGAGACAUAGUUUUCCCUUCGGGGACAGUGGUGACAGGUGGUGCAUGGGUUGUCGUCAGCUCCUGUCCUGAAGAUGUUGGGUUUAAGUCCCGCAACCAACCGCAACCCUUGGAUCUUAGUUGGCCAUCAUUUUAAUUUGGGCCACUCUAAGGUGAACUGCCCGGUGAACC